CCUACGGGUUGCAGCAGUGGGGGAUAUUGCACAAUGGGCGCAAGCCUGAUGCAGCCAUGCCGCGUGUAUGAAGAAGGCCUUCGGGUUGUAAAGUACUUUCAGCGAGGAGGAAGGCAUUAAGGUUAAUAACCUUGGUGAUUGGCGUUACUCGCAGAAGAAGCACCGGCUAACUCCGUGCCAGCAGCCGCGGUAAUACGGAGGGUGCAAGCGUUAAUCGGAAUUACUGGGCGUAAAGCGCACGCAGGCGGUCCGUCAAGUCGGAUGUGAAAUCCCCGGGCUCAACCUGGGAACUGCAUUCGAAACUGGCAGGCUAGAGUCUUGUAGAGGGGGGUAGAAUUCCAGGUGUAGCGGUGAAAUGCGUAGAGAUCUGGAGGAAUACCGGUGGCGAAGGCGGCUCCCUGGACAAAGACUGACGCUCAGGUGCGAAAGCGUGGGGAGCAAACGGGAUUAGAUACCCGUGUAGUC
rnacentral:rRNA from 1 species